ACACAACCUCUCCGGUCCUUCCUCCUCAGUGCAAGCACUGGCUGCCCCAGCCCGCUGUUUCCGGCUUCUCCGUCUAACCAGGUCCCUCCCUGGAGCUCUGACGACACGGAGAAGAGAAAGUGGGCUGGAGGAGGAAGAGGAAGACAGUGGGGGUACUACUCUUUAGACACUUGUGGAAGCCAACACAACCUGGAGUGGCUGCCUGCCGUUUCCCAAGGUGGAUUCGUUUGUUCCGGAAUUCAAAUAAAUGGAGUAAAACAGGAUGUGCUUUUUAUGUUUGGCUUCUUUUACUCACCGAUGAAUAUUUAGAGACUCAUCCAUGUUGUUGUGUGGAUCCAUAGUUUGUCCAUUUUUAUUAAAGAUUAAAGUAGUAUUCCAUU